GAUGAAGAACGUAGCGAAAUGCGAUAAGUAAUGUGAAUUGCAGAAUUCAGUGAAUCAUCGAAUCUUUGAACGCACAUUGCGCCCCCUGGUAUUCCGGGGGGCAUGCCUGUUCGAGCGUCAUUUCAACCCUCAAGCUCUGCUUGGUAUUGAGUCCAUGUCAGUAAUGGCAGGCUCCAAAAUCAGUGGCGGCGCCGCUGGGUCCUGAACGUAGUAAUAUCUCUCGUUACAGGUGCUCGGCGUGCUUCUGCCAAAACCCCAAUUUUUCUAUGGUUGACCUCGGAUCAGGUAGGGAUACCCGCUGAACUUAAGCAUAUCAAUAAGCGGAGGA
rnacentral:misc_RNA from 1 species